UACAGAGGUCUCAAGCGUUGUUCGGAUUCAUUGGGCGUAAAGGGUGCGUAGGCGGCGCGGUAAGUCGGGUGUGAAAUCUCGGGGCUUAACUCCGAAACUGCAUUCGAUACUGCCGUGCUUGAGGACUGGAGAGGAGACUGGAAUUUACGGUGUAGCGGUGAAAUGCGUAGAUAUCGUAAGGAAGACCAGUGGCGAAGGCGGGUCUCUGGACAGUGCCUGACGCUGAGGCACGAAGGCCAGGGGAGCA
rnacentral:rRNA from 1 species